rnacentral:lncRNA from 1 species
CGGAAAAGAUUUGGGGUUACCGGGAUCAGGAAAGGAUUUGGGAUCACCAGAAAUGGGAUGUGGAAAAAACAUGGAUCUGGGAUAGGAGUGACCUGGAUUUGGGAUCACUGGGAUUUGGGAUGGGAAUGACCUGGAUUUGGGAUCUCUGGGAUCAAUGGAUGGAUCUGGGAUGGGAAUGACCUGGAUUUGGGAUCACUGGGAUCUGGGAUCACUGGGAUUUGGGAUCACCGGGAUUUGGGAUCACCGGGAUUUGGGAUGAAUGGAUGGAGCUGGGUUGGGAAUGACCUGGAUCUGGGAUCACUGGGAUCUGGGAUGGGAAUGACCUGGAUUUGGGAUCACUGGGAUUUGGGAUCACUGGGAUUUGGGAUGGGAAUUACCUGGAUUUGGGAUCAUUGGGAUUUAGGAUGGGAAUGACCUGGAUUUGGGAUCACUGGCAUUUGGGAUCACUGGGAUUUGGGAUCUAUGGAUGGAUCUGGGAUGGGAGUGACCUGGAUUUGGGAUCACUGGGAUCUGGGAUCACUGGGAUUUGGGAUCACUGGGAUUUGGGAUCAAUGGAUGGAUCUGGGAUGGGAAUGAUCUGGAUUUGGGAUAAUUGGGAUUUGGGAUCACUGGGAUCUGGGAUCACUGGGAUCUGGGAUGGGAAUGACCUGGAUUUGGGAUCACUGGGAUCUGGGAUGAACGGAUGGAGCUGGGAUGGAAAAGCCCCAAAUUCGGGAUAUCAGAAUCCGCUCACAGGACAAACAGGACCCGGAUCCUCCGGAAUCNCUCCAAGGAUCCCAAAGGCCAUUCCAAGGAUCUCAAUGGCAACUCCAAGAAUACCAAUGGUGCCUCCAAGGAUCCCAAAGGCCAUUCCAAGGAUCCCAAAGGCAAUUCCAAAGAUUCCAAUGGAAUCACAACAAUCCCAUCAACCCUCCAAUGAUCCCAAAGGCCAUUCCAAGGAUCCCAAAGGCCAUUCCAAUGAUCCCAAUGGCGCCUCCAAGGAUCCCAAAGGGCAUUCCAAAGAUCCCAAUGGCAAUUCCAAGGAUUUGAGUGGAAUCAUCCAGAAUCCCAAAGGCCAUUCCAAGGAUCCCAAUGGCAAUUCCAAAGAUUCCAAUGGAAUCACAACAAUCCCAACAACCCUCCAAUGAUCCUAAUGGCAAUUCCAAGAAUCCCAAAGGCCAUUCCAAGGAUCCCAGUGGCAACUCCAAGAAUACCAAUGGCGCCUCCAAGGAUCCCAAAGGCCAUUCCAAGGAUUUGAGUGGAAUCAUCAAGGAUCCCAAAGGAUUCCAAUGGCAAUUCCAAAGAUUCCAAUGGAAUCACAACAAUCCCAACAACCCUCCAAUGAUCCCAAAGGCCAUUCCAAGGAUCCCAAUGGCAAUUCCAAGGAUCCCAAUGACACCAUGGCCAUCCCAAUGAGCCUUCCAAGGAUCCCAAAGGAACCGUGACCAUCCCAACAACCCUCCAAGGAUCCCAAUGGCCAUUCCAAGGAUCCCAAUGCCAAUUCCAAGAAUCCCAAAGGCGCCUCCAAGGAUCCCAAUGGCACCAUGACCAUCCCUACAGCCCUUCCAAGGACUCCAAUGGCAAUUCCAAGGAUUUGAGUGGAAUCAUCAAGAAUCCCAAAGGCCAUUCCAAGGAUCCCAAUGAGUCUUCCAAGGAUCCCAAAGGAACUGUGACCAUCCCAACAACCCUACAAGGAUCCCAAAGGCGCCUCCAAGAAUCCCAAAGGCAAUUCCAAGGAUUUGAGUGGAAUCAUCCAGAAUCCCAAAGGCGCCUCCAGGGAUCCCAAAGGCAAUUCCAAGGAUCCCAAAGGCCAUUCCCAGGAUUUGAGUGGAAUCAUCCAGAAUCCCAAAGGCCCUUCCAAGGAUCCCAAAAGCCAUUCCAAGAAUCCAAAAGGCAAUUCCAAGGAUUUGAGUGGAAUCAUCAAGGAUCCCAAUGGCGCCUCCAAGGAUCCCAAUGGCCAUUCCAAGGAUCCCAAAGGAUCCCAAAGCCAAUU